UUUCGAUCCCAGGGGUGCCGUCAUAAAACAUUAUUAGUUCACCAAAGUUGCGGUCAGCAUUUGUUACUGGUCUACGGGGUUAUGCCUAUGAAAUGAAUGACACACACUGAGGCAAAAUAAAAUAAUCGAUGCUUUUAAAAUUUGCAUAAGAUUGGAUACCACACAGAUGCUAAACUCAACCUUGUUUCUUAUUUACCAUAUUCAAUAUAUCCCAUUGAGCAUUUUCACAUUGCGCAUACGCCGCAUUGAACCUGAGCCCAAGUCCAAGACCUAAGUUCGUGGGCGUUGAAUUUAAUUGUGGGAAUUUUGCUUCUGCCACGCACAAAUCACAUCUACAUAUGCUUGGUUAGUCCUCCCACACUUUGCUACCAUGUACGCUGCUAAAGCCAAGACGGCAGGACCCUUCAUUUCUCACCGUUUCAAUGGAAGCUAUCCUAAUGUGUAUGGUCAUGGCCUUGUCUUAAAGUUUCAUCGUGGGAACCGUCCACUAUGUAUUAAACCCCGUUUUAUGUAAAACAAUUUUCCAGCCCAACUUGUAAACUUUUUUAAAAUUUUCAACUUUCAUUAAUGUCGAAAGCUCGUUAGCGACAAGUUAUCCCAGGCUUCUUUAGCGGAUCAUUCAUAUAAAAC